AACGAACGCUGGCGGCAUGCCUAACACAUGCAAGUCGAACGAAGCCUUCGGGCUUAGUGGCGCACGGGUGCGUAACGCGUGGGAAUCUGCCCUCUGGUACGGAAUAACUCAGGGAAACUU
rnacentral:rRNA from 1 species